rnacentral:lncRNA from 1 species
GGCAGAGUUAGAGAAGAUGGGGAAGGAGAAGGUGGUUUGAUUUUCUCAGAAGGAGGUGUGGUGUUCUGACUCGGAUUAGAUGGAACCGAUGAAACAUUCCCAACCUGGAAAGGUGGAGCUGCAGUAGAGGCAGUGGGUGGUUGUGGCAGAGGCUGCUGAGGCGGGGUUGUUGGCCUAAAUGUCUGACCAAAUCUGGGUCGAAAAAUAGGCGGAGGGGUAGGAGGUUGAGCUUGAGCCUGAGGCUGAGCAUCAGGCGCUGUUGACGCAGUCGCAAGUGCUGGGAGGUGGGGCUACUGGCCUCAUGGAACCCAGGAUGAGCCAUGAGCGAGAUUGGAGAGGCCGGUUUGCCAUAAUCCAACAGAAUUAAUCUGGAGCAAGUCGCCCAAAUACUUAACUUGAACAAGAGAACGAGGAAUGGGCACAGAAAUUAAGUUUAGGGAACUUGGUAUUUUUAAGUUCAACACCCAAGAAAAAAAAAUGCAGAAGACAUCUAAAAUCCUAACACUAGUGCUCAAAAAUCAAAACACACUAAGUGCAAAUACGAUGAAACAUAUGCUUCCUAAGACAUGGUCUAGAAGAAGUGAAUUUCUUACAGGACUUGACUCAGUGAUAUUCAAGAUCCUUAAUUUUGAGAAUCAAUUAAUGCCACCACCACAAUCUUUAUUCUCAUUGCCCUUGUAACUUUUAUUGAACUAAGCAAAUACAACGCAUUAUCCAUCAUCUUAAAUAUGUAAGGGAAAUGCAAGACUAAAGCUUGAUACUAUAUCAGCUUAUGUUUCAAGGCCAGCGGAUACGAGGGAGAUAUCCUAUUGGCUCCUUUGUAGUCUAAGAAUCUAGUGGGAUCAUGCACCCGUAAAAGAUACUGGGAAGUGUAUCAACUGUACUUUCUACGACUGUUAAGUAUGGAAUGUGGAGCCUUGAACCUCUCCCUCACUUUAUACAGGCGCCUGAACAUUAAGACCCAAAAUUAGUAUUGCUUGUAGUUGUACAUCAUAAUUUCCUUUAUGAAAUAUUGUACUGCUUUUCAUUUUAAUGGUAUAUAUGUGGAACCAAGUCUCACACAUCUCUGUUCCUGCUAGAGGGCACAUUGAUAUCCCAAAGAGAUGCUAGCGCUUUCAAUACAAAACCCCAUCUAUAUACUCCAAAUUACUUCGAUUUUUGUCUAACUUAAUUCUUCUGUAUGUUCAUGGUUGCUCAAAUGUGUUGGUCAUGGACUCAUGGCUGGCCCUCUGUUUUCUUGUUAUCUCAAUGAAAAAAUAAAAAUUAAGUGUAGAUUUGAAUACUAAUAUUAUUUUUUUAUUUUUAAAAAUGAAAAGUCACAAUAAAUUUCAUACAGAAAGUAGAAUUUUUUAAUAAUAUAUAUAUUGAAUCAUAUUUUUAAAAAAUCACUUUCAAAAAUUUUUUAAAUCAAGGUAGCAAAAAUUGUUUGAUACCUCAAUUUUUUUUAAAACAAAUUUUAAGAUGAUUACUUUUUCAAUAUAAGUUUUCCAAAGUUCUUACAUUUUAUUUUCAAAAUUAUAACUAUUUUUUAUGUUAAAAAUGGAAAAUAAAAAAUGUAUUCAAAUAGACACUUAGAUUUCUUAUUUUUAGUUUUUCUAAUAUAAUGAUUUUUUUUUCCUUUUUGUUUGUUUAUUUAGCAAAGGAUCAAGCCUUUGGGUUGAAAGACUAGUCCUAACCCUAGUAAGGGUCACCCCAAUUUGGGACAAAACUCUAUCCAAAGGGGCUCAUCAAAGGAUAAGAAAGGGGCAACUCAAAUGCAAGUAGUGUUUCUAUUACUGAAGUAUCGGGAACCAUCACUUCUGGUGACAAGGCUAAAGAUGGUUUGUGAAUUACAAUGAUAUGAAUCAAGAGACUCAACAUCAGGAAAAAGAAGUUGAGAAAAUUUGUUGCAAACUCAAUUUAACUAUUAAAAAAUAGUGUUCACUCCUAGCCUUAUCUCCAUGUUUGAAUCUCUAUCUUGUGAUUCUCCUAUGAAAAUGGAUCCGCAUGAUGGAGAGGGUAAGGAGGCAGCUAAAAAGGAAAAAAUGGUUCCGAAGGGUUUUGAAGCUAGUGAUUGUGCAAUCAAGAUGGAAACAAAUGGAAAUAGACCUAUUUUGAAAGAAAAAAAAAUAAGUUGACGGCUUAAACUCUUCCAAAAAAGAUAAGGAACAAAUAAAUAAAUAAACCAAGGGAAUAAGAGGAAGGAAGAAGAAGGCUAAGGAGGCAUCAAACCAUCCAAUCCUAUCCCAUGAAGCUCAUGGCCUAGAAUGUUAGAGGGGUUCAUUGCCCUAAUUUUGUAUCUCAAGUUAGGAAGCUACAAAAAAAAUCUAGCUCAUCAUAUUUUGUUUUAAUCUAAAAUUUAAUGUUAAUAGAACAAUUGAUAUUUUGCCUAAACUCCAAUUUGAUUGUUAUGGCAGUUGAGAUAAAGCCUUUAAAUUUGGUGAUUCAAGGAUAGAGAAUAGAAGUGUUUUAGGAUAGUUAUUAAAGACUCUAAUGGAAUUAUAAAAAUAAUUGCAAGUAAGCAUAUGGGUAUUGCAUCAAUAAUUAUUUUGGAAUGUAUGAAUUUAAGAGAUGGUGAGCUAACCACUAAAAACAAUGGUGACUAAAAAAUAUUCUUAAUUCUAUUAUGCUAUUAAUGAAAGAUAUUUAGAACUUAGAUAUUGAAGGUAACUUAAAAAUAAUGAUAAAUUGUUAUAAUAAAUAAAGAAAUAUUCUUAAUUUUAUUGUCUUAUUAAUGAAAGAUAUUUAGAAGUUAACUCGUGAUCUAAUAUUUAUAAUUAUCAUAGUAUUUAUAAAGAAAUAAAUAAUAAAUAGAUUAUUUAGUUAAAAAAAAAAGGUAUUUAUAAUAUAGAGUAUUAAAAAGAAAAAGAAAAAAAAAAGGGACUUACAGCUAUGAGACCCAACUUCACCUUUCUUCAACUUAGGAUCCUUGGUAUGACAUGUGAUCUAAACUUGGAGCCAAAAACUUGAACUUAGUAGCCCUAACAAGGCAACCAAUGAGUUCGAGGUUUUCAGAGAAACUUAGAUUGUAAAUUGAAUAUUAAUUCACUAAGAAUAUAGUUAAACUUCUAAUAAAUUAAAUUAUUAAAGUUUUUAGCUAAUAGGAUAACACGUUAUCUUAAAAAACUUUUUUAUUUUUAAGUAAUAAAGUUAAAGUCAAAUUCAUACCAAAUACAUGUAGGUCCAUUAGAAAUGACUUUAAGGUGAAUCGAAACUCAAAGUCAUAGUUCUAAAUAAAUAAAUAAAAAUCAUAAUAUUAUUGUUAUUGUAAAAGGUUUAUUAAAUAUGAAAUAGGCUUUUACAUAAAAUCAAAAUAAAUUUUCUUAAAAAAAUAAUAACAUUUUUCUUACUUUUAAAUUUUUUUUUUUUUUAAUCAUGAGAUUUUUUUAAUAAAAUUAGUCAAAUAAGGUCAAAACCUUUGCUUUUAACCUUUUUGAAAUCAAUUCAAAUAUGAUUCUAGAAUCUUUUAUUGACGUUUAAAAAAGAACUUUUGACUUCUCAAGUCAAUCCAAAACUGAUUUAUCAAUGCUUAUUGAGGUGGUUUAAUAUAUGAAUAUUUCGAUGAAUGAAAACGUUAAUAUUACUUUCAACUAUCUUAAAUGGUUAUACGAUAUAUCAAUAAUGUAUGUAAAUUGAUUAAUUGAUUAACACAUGACUAUUGUAAAUCAUAUGAUGGAUUUUAAUGGGAUAAAUUACAAAAGAAAGAAAGAAAGAAUUACUUCUACCAAUGAGGGUCCAUAACUUUUAUUCAAACAGCUUCUGUACCUGUGGACGAUUUGAUUGACCCUGCCCCUGCCACAAUUUAGAUCCACAUAAGAUAAGAUAUAUUGUAGAAGGGGGAGCAACAGAGUCGAGGGAUUGGGUCUAUAUUUAGCCAAUCAACUUGAAAUCCAAAUCAGAUUGUCUAAAAAUUUCAAGCCAAAACCCAAUUAAAGUUCGAGCACAUAGCUCAUCAGAUCUCCUAAGAAGAUCCUUAAAAAUGGUUACAAAGGGGUUUAAGCUGGAAUGCCUACUAGGACCAAGCUAAAGGAGGCCCAAGCCUGGCCCAAUUCCAAUAGAAGAAGGUUCGACCGUUUGCAUGGCUAAUUGAAGCACAAAACAAAGGGAAGUUGUGAAGAAUUAUAGCACAUAUCCUUUGCUAUAAACAAACAAAGAAAUUCAAAAAAUAGAAGAAAAAUAAUUUCGAAUUUAAUAUAUAUUAAUAGGUGAAAAAUGACAGCAAACACUGUAAGGCUAGCUCUCAUCCCUCACAAGGUGAUCAAAUUGCAACUCAUUCACUCGAUACUAAUUCAAAUCAAAUGCAAAUUGCACCUUUUAUUAAUUUCUUCCCCAAUCAUCGUCACCUCACACUUACAAACACUUAAAUAUUCAAAUGAGGGCAUAUGGGUCACCAUCUUAGGUUACAUUCCAUCUGAAGAUCUGGAACACAACCAUGGAGAAUCAAAACCCAUGCCUUUUUAUCAUAUCACCAGUCACUUUUAUUUAUUCUCUUACAUAUAUAUCCUUUUAUAUAAUGCAAGAAUUUUGAAAAUGAAAAAGCUUAAUUUUAUGCGUGCAAGCUCUUUGAUCUCUACUUAUCUUGCCCAUCUCCAUGGUCCUUGAUAUGCAGUCCACGGCCGCCACCACGACGAGUGAAGAAAACAUGGACACCAGGAUCGUGGUGGUUGCAAGAGGUGUUGAAGAGAAUGGAGUUGUUAACGGCUUGAACAUUGCUGUUCGUGAAUGCAUUCAUGGGUGGUAAUGGGGUCCCCAUUUUGUUGUGAGCUUUGUCUUUCUUUUUCGACUUCUCUUCAUCGCUGCUACUGGCAUCGCUUCCUAAUUUGGUCCCCAACCAAGUUUUGAGGUCGGUCUUCUUGACAAGAGGGUUGGAGUUGCCUUCAGGGUCGGGUUUCUUGCGGGCGGGGCUUAGCUCCAUUACGGCUCCAGUGUUGUCACCUGCAAGCGUUAUGAUCUUCAAGCUGGCAUCCUCAGAGUCUGCUUUCUUGAGGUUAACUUUCUGGUCUUUGGUCCCCGGCUCACUCUUCUCGUAACCAGGGACAAUGCUUGGCUUCACAGAGUCGCCCACAUUACUUUGCAGCCCACCAAUGGAGGGCCUGAAUGGUGACUUGGGCUUUUCGAUGACCACAGUCUUCUGCUCAAUUGGCUCAGGAGCGGGUUUUGGCUGGGCAGGAGGCAGAGUUAGAGGAGAUGGGGGAGGAGCAUGUGGUUUGACUUUCUCAGAAGGAGGUGUGGUUUGUGCUGGAAGCCUGGACAAUAGUGGGGCUGGUGCCAAUGCCCGUGCCCAUGCCCGUCCCGGUGAUGGUGCUUGUGCCUGUGGGGGUUCUGGUGCCGGGGCCGGUACUGUGAUCGAUUCGGUGAUAACAGUGGUGGUACUGGUGGUGAUGGUAGGAAUGGUUGAGAUGACUUUGGUUGUGGGGGAAGUUGGCACUGAAGAGGAGGAGGCAGAGGUUUUGGGAGAUUUUGGAACUGGAGAUGUUGGCACGGAAGACAAUGUUGUGGCUGGAAAAGCACUAGUUGUGACCACUUUCUGGACUGGAGAUGUUGGCACUGAUGAAGUACCGUAAGGUUUCGCGACUACCGGAGAUGUUGGCACGGAUGUAGUGGUUUUCUGAAUCGGAGAAGUUGGAACUGAUACAUUCCCAACCCGGAAAGGUGGCUGCUGAGGCUGGGUUGUGGGCCUAAAUACCUGACCAAAUGAGGGUCGAAUAAUAGGUCGAGCUGCAGGAGGCUGAGGUUGUGCCUGAGGCUGAGCCUCAGGAGCUGCGGACGCAGCCGCAGGUGCUGGUGUAGGCGCUGCGGGCCUCAUGGAACCCAAGCGGAUCCAUGGGCGGGCUGGGGCAGGCUGGUUUGCCAUAAUCGAACAGAAGUAAUCUGGAGUUACUCGCCCAAAUACUUAAUCUGAAACGAAGAAAGAGACCAAG